rnacentral:rRNA from 1 species
AUUGAACGCUGGCGGAAUGCUUUACACAUGCAAGUCGAACGGCAGCACGGACUUCGGUCUGGUGGCGAGUGGCGAACGGGUGAGUAAUGUAUCGGAACGUGCCCAGUCGUGGGGGAUAACGUAGUGAAAAUUACGCUAACUCCGCAUACGAUCUAUGGAUGAAAGCGGGGGAUCGCAAGACCUCGCGCGAUUGGAGCGGCCGAUAUCAGAUUAGGUAGUUGGUGGGGUAAAGGACCACCGAGCCAACGAUCUGUAGCUGGUCUGAGAGGACAACCAGCCACACUGGAACGGAGACACGGUCCAGACUCCUACGGGAGGCAGCAGUGGGGAAUUUUGGACAAUGGGCGAAAGCCUGAUCCAGCCAUUCCGCGUGCAGGAUGAAGGCCUUCGGGUUGUAAACUGCUUUUGUACAGAACGAAAAGGUUUCUACUAAUACUAGGAGCUCAUGACGGUACUGUAAGAAUAAGCACCGGCUAACUCUGUGCCAGCCGCCGCGGUAA